rnacentral:lncRNA from 1 species
CUGCCCCCCCCUCCCCAUGCACAUCAUUCACACUUUCCUCACCACAGGGGACAGGCUGAUAUUUUAUAUCACCACGUUGCCAUGACCCUCUAUGACAAGGAGAAAAUUUUAGUCACUUGCCUCGUUGGGUUGCAAACCUUUAUGAAUACCGCAACUAAUAGCCCGGGCUUGUGUGAUGUGGAGAAUUGCUUCAGCACAGAGAGACUGCAAACCUGUUCAAUUAAAGGAAAUGCUCAGAUCCAGCUGUUGGAGCCCCAUGAAUGCCAGUACUCCUCACAGAGACCUGAGUACCGAGGACUGGGCAUGGAGAAGGAAGACAUUGGAAUGGGACAAACCACAGGAAGAAAUGAUGAGCCAUUGACCCAGGGUUCAGCUGAGUGGCAAAAGCCAUCUCCUCAAAGGCAGCAUCUGAGCCCUCAGGCCCUCUGCAAGAAAUUUUGCUGUAGAAAUCCUCUCUGCACGUGCCUAGGAGCCAAAAUCAGCCUUUUCUGGUGGUUGGUGAAACAGUGUAAGACCUUUGAAGGAAAUUGUUACCAUGUCCUUUGUCUUGCUGUGAGGUGAGUUAAAAUGCAAAACCAGAGAAAAACUGUGGUCCAGUUUGAUGAAGUGGCAUAAAUCAAGAUUUGGAAAUAUAAAGUGAGUGGGCUGAAAACAAGACCUUAAUGCCUCCCUGCACUGUUCCUCUAUGGUUGGGGCAACUGAACACAAGGUAAACAGUCAAAAGCAGAUCCAGAGCCCAAGUCCCAUUGAAUUUUUGGCUCACUGACUAGUGUAGAUGCUUGCAAGACUUCUCCCCCAGCUGGUUAAGCAGAGUUACAAAGCCAGAUUG